rnacentral:rRNA from 1 species
CCUACGGGAGGCAGCAGUGGGGAAUAUUGGGCAAUGGGCGCAAGCCUGACCCAGCAACGCCGCGUGAAGGCAGAAGGCUUUCGGGUUGUAAACUUCUUUUGUCAGGGACGUAGAAAGUGACGGUACCUUAUGAAUAAGCAUCGGCUAACUCCGUGACAGCAGCCGCGGUAAUACGGAGGAUGCGAGCGUUAUCCGGAUUUAUUGGGUUUAAAGGGUGCGUAGGCGGUUUUUUAAGUUAGUGGUUAAACGUCGGGGCUUCACCUUGAUUUGCCAUUAAUACUGUAAGACUCGAGUUCAGACGAGGUAGGCGGAAUAAGUUAAGUAGCGGUGAAAUGCUUAGAUAUAACUUAGAACUCCGAUAGCGAAGGCAGCUUACCAGACUGCGACUGACGCUGAAGCACGAGAGCGUGGGUAGCGAACAGGAUUAGAUACCCGAGUAGUC